CAUCAUGUGAUCCUGUCAUGUGACAUUAACAGGAAGUAGUGCUUUUUAGCCACACACCUGUCCGACAUAAGUUAUGUUAUCCAUGGAGAACUUCCAGCUCUUAUCUUCAGUCCUGUGGUUGCAUCCUCUCCCUGAAACUGUCCCAGAUGAUGGCUGCUGAUGUUAGCCAUGGACCGUAUAAAUAAUGGCCGUAGUACCUGUGACGUCACCCAUAGAGAGUAUCAUUGUGCUGAGCUGUAGCGAACAGUAACACAAAGGGCGGAAGGAUCUUUUCCAGACCAGUGGGAGCAGAAGGAAGGAAUGCAGCAGCUGUUUCAAAAUAUAUAUGGAAAUGUGUGUUAAGAUUUAAGAAAUGUGAAACGGUUUUGUAAGGCAGGUCCUUGUUUUUAUAGUGGUAUCUUGUAUAAGGGCCAUAAUGCCCAAAUAAAGACAUUUCUAUUUA